UACAAAUGAUGUUUUUCUCACGAUGGUCUUCCAAGCCCUCUGGGUGCUGACGACAAUGCCUAACGGCAACACUGAUGUAUUGGC
ensembl:snoRNA